ensembl:rRNA 5S_rRNA 5S ribosomal RNA
GAUUACGGCCACACCACACUAACAACGCCUGAUCUCGUCUGAUCUCGUCUGAUCUCGGAAGCUAAGCAGAGUUGGGCUAGGUCAGUACUUGGAUGGGUGACCGCCUGGGAAUACCCGGUGCUGUAAGCA